rnacentral:rRNA from 1 species
UACGUAGGGUGCGAGCGUUGUCCGGAAUUAUUGGGCGUAAAGCGCGUGUAGGCGGCCAGGUAGGUCCGAUGUGAAAACUCGAGGCUCAACCUCGAGCUGUCGGUGGAAACUGUCUGGCUAGAGUCCGGAAGAGGAGAAUGGAAUUCCUGGUGUAGCGGUGAAAUGCGCAGAUAUCAGGAAGAACACCCGUGGCGAAGGCGGUUCUCUGGGACGGUACUGACGCUGAGACGCGAAAGCGUGGGGAGCGAACAGG